UUUCAUAGUAAAACCUUUGUUGAUUUAAUAAACAUAAUGGAUACUCAUUAAAAUAUUCAAACAGCAUAGAAAGGGACAAAGAAGAAAGCAGCCAGCAAUCCAAGUACCACUAUCCAGAAAUAGCCAGUGAUAUCUCUUUAUGUGUGGAAAUACAAUGAAAAUUGAGUGAGAGACAUACACAGAGGAAGAAGAAAAAGAGUAAGUUAUAAAAGGUAUUAAAUUAAAUUAAUUUAAAUUUAGCAGAAAUAAAAAACAAGUAAAAAAUGAAUAAACCUCAUGUUAUUUCUUUCCCACAGAGGUAUUAGAUCCUACAAGACCCCUCUUGGAGUCAUUUUAUGUGAGGUUUUCUUCUUCCUUCUUCUUUUUUCUAAAUCACCUGUUUUAAUCUUAGACAUCAUCUAUUAACUUACCAUGUUAAAGAUGAGGUAAUUAGAACUUAUUUUUUUCUUUCGUCUUGCAUUUGUCUCUCUACCAACUUACAUUGCUUUUAUUAUUUUUACUUUGAGUUAAGCAGUGAGUCACCAGUAAUGUCCAGUGUUAUUGGAGUAUGUAGGAAAACAAGCAUUCUCAAACACAAUAUGAGGAAGUGCACAUUGAUAAAGAUAUUUUGAAGGGUAAUUUGGCAUAUUAAGUAAAAUUUAAAUUUGACCCAGCAAUUCUACUUAUAGCAAUCUAUCCAAAGCAUAUUUGUACAAAGAUAAGUAUACAAGCUUUUGUGCAACACUGUUUUUAAUACCAAAGAGUUGGAAAUGUUAAUCAGUAAGAAAAUGGUUUUAUGAAGUAUGGUGCAUUCGCAAUGUGAAAUACUAUAGAAAAGUUAAAAGAAUUAUGGAGACAAAUAUGUACUGAAAUGGAAAAAAUUCUAAAUUAUAUUGUUAAGAGAAAAAAGAAAGUCAUACAAUAUACCUACAGUGUGAUUCCAUUUUAUUAUGAAAUAAUAUAAAUAUAUAUCCACACAUUCACACUGAUACAGAAUUAUACAUACAGAGAAAGAUUGGGGAGAGGAAAAGGACUGGGAAGGUAAAGAGGAAAGUUCAUAUUUAAUCCCAUAUACUGAAAAUCUGCCUUUGUGUUUUACAACAGGAAUGUAUACGUUGUAUAAAAGGCAGAGAAAAGGAGAAAAAACAGUCUCUUCUCCAAUAUGUGUAAGGAAUCUAAUUUUAGGUAGUAUUUCUGGUUUAAUGAUUGAUAUAAUGGGCAAAUCUGCUUUCUAUUUCGGAUGAGAAACAAAGCAAAACAAAACACCCUAGCUUUUGACAUAAUCUGCAUGCCUUGCCAUAGAUGUUAGCCAACAAACCAAAACUUCUCCUCACCUCAAAAUGACAUAAUUUCUUUCCUAUUACACUUAAGAUCCUGGAAUCAUGUAGUUCACUGCAUUCUUCAAUCUUGAAUAAAAGUGCUAGACUACUGGCAAUGCUAUUCUCUUUCAAAGAGCUUCUUUCCCAUUAUGCCCAUGUUUUUACUUUGAGGACUGAAUGCUCAUUCCACUUUAAAAUAAAGCUUAACUAUAAUUUUAUUUUAUACUUUAGUUACUGAUAUUACCUUGUGACUUGAGAUGAAGACUAAAAGGAAAAGUAAAAUAACAGUUUGGCUCACAUUGUUGGAAUUUAAGUUAAUAUGACUCAUACUAGCAAUUAGCUUCUUGUCCUGAAAGGUAAAUAUCAGUGUAUUUACUGACGCUUUGAGGUAUGGGAGUAAGGAGACAACGCCACCAAAUUAUGUGGUAUAAGUUUAAGCUCUUAAGUUACCAAGGAAAAACUUAAAAGGAUCCACUUGCCAGUUACUUACCAAUAUGAUCAUCUAACAAACACCUAUUAUGAGCAACCCCUAUGCUAAGUUCCAUGAAGGACAGCAAUAUAAGAUAUAAUCUUUUUUUUGUUAAACGAUGUGCAUACGUGAGAUAAUAUGGAAAGUUGAAUCUAAGAAAGCCUGGCUUGGGAGGUAUUCAAGUGGUCGUGGUAGAGUUAAAGAUACCCAGAAGUCUUCUAAGAAGCACAAAACAUGAUUCCUGUACUCAGAGACAUGCAGUCCUAUUCACAUGCAAAGAGGACCUACACUGGCUAUUGCCAAGUAUCAAGCGAGGUGAGUGCUAUCAUAAGUCACAGAAUGGAUACAUUAUUUGAGUAGUCAGAUAAAUCUCACAGCAUGAGGCAUAAGAUGUCUAAUAAUGUCUAGAAAGCAAUUGGAAAUAUGUGAUUAAAGCUUGGGAAUGAACACUGGGUUAAAGAUAGACACUUUGGAGUCAUUUGCAUGGCUGUGAUAAAUAAGAUUUGAAAUAGAAGAUAAACAGAAUGAAAAGUAAAGGAAGAUUAAAAUCUGAAGAAAACAGCAAGACACUGUAAAAAUAAAGACAGUUAUAGAACUGACAUGUUCACAAAUAUUAAGCAAAACAAGAGUUAACUAAGUGGACUGCAUUCAAAAAGUUUAAGUAAUCUUUUUAACUUUUGCUUGGAAUAUUGCUGAUCCUUGUUUUGUUUUUCAGAGUCAAGGAAACUUAUUUUAAACUAUUAAUGGCCAUUAAUAAUUGAGUAAGGUAUACUACUGUAAACAAAAUUUGGAGCAUGUUCAUUUAUCUCCACCUGGUUCCUCUAAAAUUUGGAGACUACCUGUAAGUACUCUUAACUUAUGGCAGUAUAGUUGUUUGCAUCAGUGCAAUAAGAAUGCAUUUUUCUUUGUCAACAGGACACAAUUGGAUAAACUGGUUAUUUUACCAAGGCUUUGGCUGAAAUGGUGUGUUUCCCUUUAAGGAAUCAAGCUUGACAUGCAGAGCCAAUAAAAGCCCCUUGGAGAACUGGCCUCAUACCUUGUCUAUACAGUCCCCGCACAGGGUUCCUAACCUGUAGUCAAUAAAGAAUGUCACUUUCUAACAGGUCUGGAAGCUCGGAGUUUCUCUUGGGACCUCAAGAAGUGAGGAUCACCCAACUCACAGCAAUCAAACUCCAAAUGGUGCUGCAAACUGAACCCCACAUGGACACGCCAUUCUUCUGAGGACCCUUAGAUCCACCCCAGGAGGAGCCCUAGCUGCUGUUCCCCAUUCGAUGCCCCUUUUCAGCCCCAACUGGACUCCAAGUGCCACGAGAACAGAGAUUGGGUCUGGUCCCCAGCUUCAGUGCCUCCAAGGCAGAAACUCAAGAGACGUUGUUGAACUGUCAGCCUUUACAUUUAUGCAUUACUAUUGAAGGCCUGGAAUAAAUGGAUCGUGUUUUACCUGUUAUCUUGCUCAUCUCUAUUACUGCUUCAUCAGCAGCUCUUCCCAAAGCAAUAAAAUGAAC
rnacentral:lncRNA from 1 species